AAGCAAAGACCAUUCUGUUUUGCUGAAGGUGAACUUUUUGUAUUAAUCAAACUAUUAAUUCAUUAAUUAUCAAGCCCCUUUUUCAGUGCAAACAUGAACCAGCACGAGCCAGGAGCAGCUGUAGACCACCUAGCACUACAAAAAUCUCCAUACAGGACAUAGAAUCAUUGUAAGCACAUUGUUGAUUUCUCAAAAUGUGUCAAAGAUGAAAACUGAGUACAAUAAACAGCCACAUCACAACAAGGAAACUAUGAAGACCCCCCCAAAAAUAGUUAUCUGCCAUGAGUGGAUUAUUUGAAAAUAUCAAUCUACUCAGCGAGGGAGACAACACAUCCUCAGGCUCAAAACAAUCUUAUGAGUUACAUUCACCCAACCAAUCCUGAUAGACUUGUCAUCAGAAAGGAGGACAGCAAGGAGGUCCAAGAGAGAGUUUUGAAUCCCCAGGUGAUGGGGGAACCAGUAAGAGCCACCAGUGAUGCUUCAUUGCACCAGGGUUCAUAUUCUGCGCUGGUGCCACAAGAAAUGGACAUACUGUCCUUUCAAUAGCAUGCAGAGCUUUGAGGCUAUGGAUACUUGUUUUAUUUGACGAAGGACACUGUGCAGGAUGGAAAUAUCAAGGCACAAUUGACCUGGAAACUUUGCAUAAUCCAUUUAGAAUAUAAUUAAAAAUUGAAAUGCUUUAAAUAUUGCUUUUUAAUUUGUGUGUCACAUUUCAAGAGCAUAGGUAAGGAAAGGAAGACAAUAAUUUGAAAAACAGAGAAGAUACCCAAGAACAGGAAAUACGGAAUUCCUGCAUCCUUUUGCUCAAUUUAAGUAGUGGCUUGUUAAAAAUGAUAAACAAAAGCAAGGCUUUGUCACAGUUCGAAUGGCAAUUGGACUCUGAAUGACCUUGGUGUUCAUUUGCUUCAGCAAUUACAUUUUACAGCCGUAUAGCGAUACAUCUUCAGCAACAGCAUUAAAUCCUAUAAUGUUGCUGUCCUUUUCAAACAGCGACUCACCUGGUUUGUUAUGAGCAUUGUCAGUGGAGAUAAGUGAGAAUGGAUGACACAGCUGGGGGCGCAAGCUGGUUCUGCAGUCAAUCUGCUCAUCACACUAUUAUAAGAUCAACCAGAGCUCCUAUAGCUAAGAUUGAUCCUUCAUGUGGUGCAUCAAACCAGAAAAUCCUUUGAUCAGUGGGUUCUCCGAAAGCUUUGUUAUCAAUAUUUAAAAAAAAUUCUUUCAUAGGGUGUGGGUGUCAAGAAUGACCACCAUACAAUGUUACACAAGUAUAUUUUAUAAGUAUAUUAGGGCAAGACUUUUCAGCUCCACCACUUCCCCAGACCUAAACGUAAGCCUAGGAUUGCAGUGUGCUGCUCAUGCCCAGUUCUUGGAUCACCAAGAUUUCCCAUACCAGGCUGUUUUCUUGGCCUGUGGAGACCCCUACUACAGGGCUGAGCCCUAGGCAGUGUGUAAUGGUGAUGGAAAGGGAAGGGAAGUGAACUGUAGCUACCAAGUCUCUGAGGCCCGUAUCUGUUUACCAGGACUGGAUGGAGGUUGGGCUAAGGCAUAAUACACAGUAAUAGCCCUCAUAGGACUCCUUAUCUCAAGUCAUUGGCCUGCUUACUGGACUCCCGAAGAACCACUCCUCCACCUAUCCACCCCAGCAACACCCCAGCAAGUCAGCAGGAAUCCAUAGGCAGCCCUUGGUGAUAUGUUUUCUGUGUCCCUUUGUUGUAGGGUGUCCAACCAAUGUUUGGUCAAAGAAUAAGAUGGGAGGCUGAAUGCCAGAAAUUGGUCUACUUUAGGGAAAGGCUAAACUCUUCCACCUCAGGAAAGCUAUGGGAAUCUUGGCAAAAUGUUUAAAGGGGUGAAGGCCUAGCCCUCCAGGUAUUUGCCUCUUUUUUUGACCUUUGCUUCUGGGGAAUGGGCUUGGAUUUCGCAGCACCAUUCUGGGACUGCAUGGAGUUGAGAAUUGGACAAAAAUGGCUGCUGAGCAGAGUAGGUAGAAGUGCAGCCUCCAUUUCCAUCUCCAGCUCUUUCAUGUGGAGCAGGCAAGGGUAUGGGUCAGGAACCCCAUUGGCUGCUGUUUAGAACAUGCCAGCAUCCUUCUGGAAGUGGACAUUUAAGAACUUCUGCAACUUUCAGUGAGGUGGCUGUGUUUUGGAAGCCCUCCUGAGUCACAGCUGGCUAGUGGCAGUGUGAGUCAUAGAUUGGAGGCAGGAAAAGUGUAAAAGGUGAGUAAGAAUGGUGUUAUCUCUUUUUACAGUUCAUCACAAAAUGCUGUAGCCUGACUUAAAGCAGAAAAGUGUUCAGAUGCAUUAGAAAAGAUUAUCCAGUGGAUAAAGUGCUAUUCAGUAUUGUAAAAUAUUGAAAGGCUAGCCUGGUGUGAAAUCAAUAGUUAAUUGCUUCAACUCAACUCAUGGCUUUCAUUCAUUCUUUUUAGAAGAGUUAAGGCAUCUGUUUGGCUGUUUGAAAGCUGUGACAGAUUUGAGUUUUUCAAAGAGAUUUUUUUGUUUUUCAAAUACCUAUCAAGUGAGGUUUGUUUAUUUUGCUGAUUUAUAAGUUUUUCAAAGAUUUCCAAACAUUAUUAUAGUGCUUGUGAGUUCUGUUUAUAAAGUGGAUACUUUAUGGGGAAAUUGGAGGGUGAGGGAGUGAGUGGAGUGAAAGGUGGUAUGGAGAUUAAGGGGGUGAGAGUGAAGGGGGCUUUAUACUGAUCUGAGGAACAAUGUCUCUGGGAAUGGAGGCAGGCUUUUAACGUGGCUGCCUUGGCUUCAAUCUGCUUCUGGUGGUAGGCCUGGCUCCAGGGUGUCCUGCUCUGCAAGAGCCGAAAAUGGGACUGCCAGCAUUGCCAGAACAGAGGCAGGAUUGUGAUGUUGAGAAAACACCCAACUCCUGAUUCCCAUCUCUAUAAUGAAUAUCCAGCCCUGUGUGUUCCCUUGGGGCAAUGGUUAAGAAAACCCUCCUUUUUCCAUUCAUGAAUUGAACCAAAGUGGCAUUAUAAAUACUGUAAUUACAAGCAUUUUUAUCAAGUUUUGUUUACAAGUACUACUUAAUGUUGUAAUGGGAUUCAUAUUACUAUAAAGUAGAUUUAUAAUACAAAUGGGCAGUUUACUUGUAGCACAUUGUUCUUAAAAUUAAAAGUUUACUUAACUC